AUUAUAAAGACAAAGAAUGGAAUAUCGUAAAUAUAAUAUGCAUAACAUUAACAUUUAUAGUAUAUUUUAUACCAAAGCCGUUUUUUCGAAGGGUCAUGGAAACGACAUAUAUGACAUUUUAUAUGUAUUAUCUAUAUCGUACUUAUUACAAAGACGAUUUAAUACUAGAAAAUUGAGUAUUCAUGAUUUUCAACAAUGUAUAAACUUGGAAACGAAAAGUUUAUUUGAUCUAGUUCAAAAGGGAAUAAUUAUAAAUAUUAUACCAUUAAUUUUUUCAUAUAUAUUCAGCUUUAUUCUGGAUAUUUUUUUAACAGUAUCUAAUAGCAUUAGUUUUAAUAUUAUUUUAAACAUAAUAACGCAUCCAUUUAAUGUUAUAUUGAGUUUACCAAAAAUAUAUAAUCUAUCAAACAUUUAUGUCCUAGAGAAUUGCUCAUAUGCUUUGUCUAUAUUUUCAUCAAUAUGGAUAACAGCAAUAUUAGAAUACCACUUUCUCAUUUUUAAUUUCUUAUUCAAUAAAUAUGAUUGUAAGAUCCUUACGGCAUUAAAUACAUUUCCUAUGCAUAAUCAAUGUUCUUAUAAUGAUGAAUUCUUUUUUUGCUAUUUGUAUAUACAAUUAUUUAAGAGAUAUAAGUUAUAGAAUUAAUGGAAUAAAUAUUGAAAUAACAAAUAUGGAUAACAAAACAAAAAUAAAACUUUUAUUACUGAAGAAACUAAUAUUAAUCAACGCGAGUUUAAAAUAUAAAGAUGAAAUGACUAUAUUAAAUCAUAUUUCUAAUCCAAUUAAUACAAUCUUAUUUGAAGAUAAUAAAAUAUGGAAUACUUAUAUUGAUUCUUGUAUAUUAUGUAUCGAUGAUUUAAUUACCCAUUUAAAAAGGUAUAUAAAUAUUUUAAGUAAUGGUCAAGCAAUUUAUUCAAUUGAAGAAAAACUAGAACUAAAAAGUGUAUUAGAAAAACAUAAAAUAAAUAAAUUAAAAGAUAUUAUCGUUUUAACUUGUAUAUAUUUAAAAGGAAUUACAUUAUGGUCCAUUGCAAUUAGCAUUAUUUGUAAAAAUAUUAUUGUAUCUGUUAUUAGAAAAUUGUCAUCAGUUCUAGUUACUUUAUCAUAUGUCCUAUUUGAUUUUUUAAAUUUUAUUAAAAUAAAUGAAUUAUAUGAUCCAUUACAUCACUUACUUUACGAAAUGAACUCCCUUAUAGAUAUUUUUAAAUUUUAUAAAGAAGACAUUUUAGACAACAAAUAUCAAUACUCUUAUAAUUUAUAUAAAGGACUUUCUUAUCUAUUUAAAAAUAAAUCAUUAAACUACUAAAUAUUACUUUGAAAUAAAAGUAUGUAUGUAUAUAUAUAUAUAUAUAUA
rnacentral:lncRNA from 1 species